rnacentral:rRNA from 1 species
UACGGAGGGUGCGAGCGUUGUCCGGAAUCAUUGGGCGUAAAGGGCGCGUAGGUGGCCCGGUCAGUUCGUGGUGAAAGCGCGGGCUCAACCCUGCGUCGGCCAUGAAUACUGCCGCGGCUGGAGCACUGUAGAGGCAGGCGGAAUUCCGGGUGAGUGGUGGAAUGCGUAGAGGAUCCGGAGGAACACCAGCGGCGAAGGCGGCAUCCUGGACUGGUCCUGACACUCGAUGAGCGAAAGCGUGGGGAGCGAUCCGGAUUGAGAUAC